rnacentral:rRNA from 1 species
GUCUACAGCCAUACCACCUUAAAUGCGUCUGAUCUGAUCAGAAGUCAAGCAGGGUUGGGCCUGGUUAGUACUUGGAUGGGAGAGGGGUCUCACUUUGAUAGUUCUUAUUUUAAUGCUAUAUAUUGUUAUCU